GGCGAACGCUGGCGGCGUGCUUAACACAUGCAAGUCGAACGGUGAAGCGCCUUCCUUUUUGGUGGGUGUGGAUGAGUGGCGAACGGGUGAGUAACACGUGAGUAACCUGCCCCCUUCUUCUGGAUAACCGCAUGAAAGUGUGGCUAAUACGGGAUAUUCUGGGUCUGUCGCAUGAUGGGUCUGGGAAAGAUAUUGUUUCGGGGGGGGAUGGGCUCGCGGCCUAUCAGCUUGUUGGUGGGGGGAUGGCCUACCAAGGCGGUGACGGGUAGCCGGCCUGAGAGGGUGGACGGUCACACUGGGACUGAGACACGGCCCAGACUCCUACGGGAGGCAGCAGUGAGGAAUAUUGCACAAUGGGCGCAAGCCUGAUGCAGCGACGCCGCGUGAGGGAUGGAGGCCUUCGGGUUGUGAACCUCUUUCGCCAGUGAAGCAGGCCUGCCUCGUUUGUGGGUGGGUUGACGGUAGCUGGAUAAGAAGCGCCGGCUAACUACGUG
rnacentral:rRNA from 1 species